rnacentral:tRNA from 8 species
GGGGGUAUAGCUCAGUUGGUAGAGCACCUGCUUUGCAAGCAGGGGGUCACCGGUUCGAGUCCGAUUACCUCCACCA